GUGAGGAAUAUUGCGCAAUGGAGGCAACUCUGACGCAGCCAUGCCGCGUGCAGGAAGAAGGCGCUACGCGUUGUAAACUGCUUUUAACCGGGAAGAAACCCCAGGACGUGUCCUGGGUUGACGGUACCGGAGGAAUAAGCACCGGCUAACUUCGUGCCAGCAGCCGCGGUAAUACGAAGGGUGCAAGCGUUAUCCGGAUUCAUUGGGUUUAAAGGGUGCGUAGGCGGAGCGUUAAGUCAGUGGUGAAAUCCUGCAGCUUAACUGUAGACUUGCCAUUGAUACUGGCGCUAUUGAGUGCGCUUGAAGUGGGCGGAAUGUGCCGUGUAGCGGGGAAAUGCUUAGAUAUGGCACAGAACACCAAUUGCGAAGGCAGCUCACUAAGGCGAUACUGACGCUGAGGCACGAAAGCGUGGGGAUCGAACAGGAUUAGAUACCCCGGUAGUCC
rnacentral:rRNA from 1 species